CCUCACCAUCUACAAACUUAAAAUGCAAGGUGCAAUUUCACUGUUCCUAGUACACCAUUUUUUGUUUGUUGCAGAUGCUUGAUUGUUGGGCCUAUUUCUUAUUUGGGGCCCUUUGGUUAUAUGAUAGGUUACUGUGUAGGGUUAGGAAUGUUCAUGCCCUCCUUGCCUCUUCACGUGUUUUCUGGCCGCCGCCGUCACCACUGAAGGAGCUGGAGUAGGAGCUUCCCCCUCUCUAUUUGCUAUCCUAGCGAAUGCAUGUGCCCCAUCUGCUAGAGCCAGCUUUGCUUCGUCCUUCCUUCCCUUAUCUCACGGCUGGAUUUUCGCUAGCAGCUGGAAGCUAUACCCCUCGAAAGUUCACCUAUCUCCCUGCACGAUUCAAGCCUCCAUCAUUGAUCUAUCAUCUAUGACUUCGCUGCAUCUUCCUCACAUGCCUUUCCUUCAGCCACCGAUGCACAUCCCUCUUCUAGCUCUACGAUUCGUCCUUCACCUAGCCUUUUGCGUGAGAUGUACGCAUAUCUUCCCCAUUUUCUGUGGUUGUUUGAGCUACUACUAGAUUAAAAAAUCUAGCUACUCAAGGUGCUUUCCAGUUGUUUGAUUCGAAAGCUUCAAGAUCUUGCUGGAAUCCCUCUGGUUUAUUUGCUUUCCUUGGUAUCUUCAUCCUUAGGCAGCAGUAUCAAGUGAUAGAUUCAAAUGUUUGGGAAGAGAACAAAAUUGCAUUGGGUUACCAAAUAAAUAAGAGCUCUCUAAAACUCCAAACUUUAAACUUCAAUAAGCAAGUUGAAGACCUGAUAUUAAGGUUGCUUAUUGAAAACAAGGAUUUAUUCUCUAUGGGUUGUGAAAGUCCAAAGCAAGUAGAGACCAGAAUGUUGUAAAAGCCUGAGCACAUGAAUAGGCGAUGAAGAAGAACUCUGCUGAUAUUGAAAUGACUUUGGGGAAAGGGAUUUUCUGAUAGAGAGCAUGUUUAGACUUGAAGUCCAGAUUAGAACAUAAGAAAUGGAUUUGAUAGCCAAUAGGUGCAUUGGUGCUCAUGAUAGUGGGAGAGAAUUUGUGACCAACUUGGUUGGAAGUGCAAUUCCUGGUUCUAAAAGCCCAAGAUGUAAGGCAAGAAUGGCAACGUCUCAGAUAAAAGGUGGCUAUGAUUUACAUACGACCUGAUACUAUGAGGUUUGAUGGGGUCGUUGUGUGCUUGUACUGAUCACUGACUCUCAUGUUUUAUGAAUUCAACUAACAAAAGAUGGUUUCACUUAGCCUCUUCUACUGAAUGUCCUUUAUUAAGGGAGUAACACGAAUCUGAGCUGCAUUUGUUUAGAGGCAGGCAAGUGAUCCAGCAUGUUUGAGAAAUGAGGCUCAACAAUGGGUUUUGGAUUAGGCUCUAAUGUUACUAUGGCUGAACUUUAUUUAUAUUUGGAGUAGUAGUUGUUAAAUCAAUUAGUCACAUGUAAGUUAUUGGAGUAAUUUUAAAUUGGACAUUUUCCUGGGA